rnacentral:rRNA from 2 species
CAUACCUAUUCGAAGGGAUAGGGUCGGUUUGGCCGGAUUUCACACAGGUGUUGCGUGGCUGUCGUCAGCUCGUGUCGUGAGAUGUUGGGUUAAGUCCCGCAACGAGCGCAACCCUCAUCCUUAGUUACCAUCAGGUUAUGCUGGGGACUUUAAGGAAGCUGCCAGUGAUAAACUGGAGGAAGGUGGGGAUGAUGUCAAGUCAUCAUGGUCCUUAUGGAGUGGGCUAUACACGUGCUACAAUGGUGAUUACAAUGGGCUGCAAGGUCGCAAGGCUGAGCUAAUCCUAAAAAAUCAUCUCAGUUCGGAUUGUUCUCUGCAACUCGAGAGCAUGAAGUUGGAAUCGCUAGUAAUCGUGGAUCAGCAUGCCACGGUGAAUACGUUCUCGGGUCUUGUACACACUGCCCGUCGCGCCAUGGGAAUUGGUUUCACUCGAAGCU